ensembl:miRNA
GGGCCUGAUGGUCAAGUCAGCCCGGGGCCUGCAUGCCAGCCUGGGAGUGAUGAUGAACCCUCUGAGCCC